CUACGGGAGGCUGCAGUGAGGAAUAUUGCACAAUGGGGGGAACCCUGAUGCAGCAACGCCGCGUGGAGGAUGACGCAUUUCGGUGUGUAAACUCCUUUUAUAUGUCAAGAAAAUGACGGUAGCAUAUGAAUAAGCACCGGCUAACUCCGUGCCAGCAGCCGCGGUAAUACGGAGGGUGCAAGCGUUACUCGGAAUCACUGGGCGUAAAGGACGCGUAGGCGGGCUUGUAAGUCAGGUGGGAAAUCCUACAGCUUAACUGUAGAACUGCACUUGAAACUGCGAGCCUAGAGUAUGGGAGGGGGAGAUGGAAUUAGUGGUGUAGGGGUAAAAUCCGUAGAUAUCACUAGGAAUACCUAAAGCGAAGGCGAUCUCCUGGAACAUAACUGACGCUAAGGCGUGAAAGCGUGGGGAGCAAACAGGAUUAGAUACCCGAGUAGUC
rnacentral:rRNA from 1 species